GGAGGACUGCAUGUGAUGAGUUCAGGGCUUAAGGCACAAGAAUAACUACGGCCAUUUUAGCUCCAACAGUAAGUACACAACCAAUCAACCAUGCAUUUUCACGACCCAGGUUUCUGAAUUCUGGCUGGCUGGCUCGCUGGCACAGCCACAUAAUCUCACACAUUCAAAUUGCUAGCUACACAAAAAAUGCCCAGAUCUACGAGUAGAAAUCCAAGGUAACACUUAGUGCCUACAAGCAUUUACUUCAUUUUUAUCUUCAUGUAAAAAGAGAAUGCAAGCUGAAAUAUACAGUCUGCAGAUUCCUCAUGUAUGUUCAAUUUUCAGAAUAGGAAGAACGAGACCGACAGCCCUUUAAUUAGAUUGGCUGAAGCAGCAUACAUACAUAUUACAAUUUUGCAUUUUAAAUUUGAAGACUAAGGCAACGACCGAUCGAUGUAAUUGGUGGUGAAUAUCUGUUUUCUUGUUUGUAUUUAAUCUUAGAAAACAGAAUCUCAUCAAGAGAAAAUCCGUAGGCAUUGCAGUCCAAUUAUUCUAGGGAUUGGAACCAGACAUGUGACUGAAUACUGCUUGGAACAUGUGAUUCUGCAAAGUUUGCGUACAUGCACCUUCUUGGAUGAUACAACUUCUCUAUGU
rnacentral:lncRNA from 1 species